GAUGAACGCUGACAGAAUGCUUAACACAUGCAAGUCUACCAAGAAUCACUUCGGUGAGGAAUGGUGGCGGACGGGUGAGUAACGCGUAAAUAAUCUGCCCUUAGACUGGAUAUCCUUUGGAAACGAAGGUUAAUACCGGAUAUUAUGAGAUGGACGCAUGUUCAACUUAUGAAAGCUAAAUGCACUAGAGGAGGAGUUUGCGUCCCAUUAGCUAGUUGGUGAGGUAAAGGCUCACCAAGGCCACGAUGGGUAGCCGGCCUGAGAGGGUGAACGGCCACAAGGGAACUGAGACACGGUCCUUACUCCUACGGGAGGCAGCAGUGGGGAAUAUUGGACAAUGGACCAAAAGUCUGAUCCAGCAAUUCUGUGUGCACGAUGAAGGUCUUCGGAUUGUAAAGUGCUUUCAGUAGGGAAGAAAAAAAUGACGGUACCUACAGAAGAAGCGACGGCUAAAUAUGUGCCAGCCGCCGCUGUAA
rnacentral:rRNA from 1 species